rnacentral:rRNA from 1 species
GAUCAUGGCUCAGGAUGAACGCUAGCUACAGGCUUAACACAUGCAAGUCGAGGGGCAGCAUUUCAGUUUGCUUGCAAACUGGAGAUGGCGACCGGCGCACGGGUGAGUAACACGUAUCCAACCUGCCGAUAACUCGGGGAUAGCCUUUCGAAAGAAAGAUUAAUACCCGAUGGUAUAAUCGAGACCGCAUGGUCUUGUAUUAAAGAAUUUCGGUAUCGAUGGGGAUGCGUUCCAUUAGGG